rnacentral:rRNA from 1 species
CUACGGGUUGCAGCAGUGGGGGAUAUUGCACAAUGGGCGAAAGCCUGAUGCGGCAACGCCGCGUGAAGGAAGACGGAUUUCGGUCUGUAAACUUCUAUCAGCUGGGAAGAAAAUGACGGUACCAGACUAAGAAGCCCCGGCUAACUACGUGCCAGCAGCCGCGGUAAUACGUAGGGGGCAAGCGUUAUCCGGAUUUACUGGGUGUAAAGGGUACGUAGGCGGUCGCUUAAGUCAGAUGUGAAAGCCCGAAGCUCAACUUCGGGACUGCAUUUGAAACUGGGUGACUAGAGUACAGGAGAGGAAAGCGGAAUUCCUAGUGUAGCGGUGAAAUGCGUAGAUAUUAGGAAGAACACCAGUGGCGAAGGCGGCUUUCUGGACUGUAACUGACGCUGAGGUACGAAAGCGUGGGGAGCGAACAGGAUUAGAUACCCUUGUAGUC